rnacentral:rRNA from 1 species
CGGGUGAGUAACACGUGAGCAACCUGCCCCUGACUCUGGGAUAAGCGCUGGAAACGGCGUCUAAUACUGGAUAUGUGACGUGACCGCAUGGUCUGCGUUUGGAAAGAUUUUUCGGUUGGGGAUGGGCUCGCGGCCUAUCAGCUUGUUGGUGAGGUAAUGGCUCACCAAGGCGUCGACGGGUAGCCGGCCUGAGAGGGUGACCGGCCACACUGGGACUGAGACACGGCCCAGACUCCUACGGGAGGCAGCAGUGGGGAAUAUUGCACAAUGGGCGGAAGCCUGAUGCAGCAACGCCGCGUGAUGGAUGACUGCUUUCGGGUUGUAAACCUCUUUU